UUGUUUCACUGACAGUCUUUGCCC
rnacentral:piRNA from 1 species